rnacentral:miRNA from 1 species
UGGUGCAAAAGUAAUUGCGGUUUUUGCCAUUAACAGUAAUGGCAAAAACUUCAGUUACUUUU